GGGAGUGGGUUCGGGCCGGUGCCCGGCCCGGUCUUCAACACCGGUGGCGCGGCGCUCGGCGUCGCGCGGUGGGUUCGACUCCCAUGCGCUCCCGCCA
rnacentral:tRNA from 1 species